CAGGAAAGGCUUCUCUAAGGAGAAGGCAAGGCAGGGGGCAGCAGGUGCAAAGGCCCCAAGGCAGGGAAGUUCUGGCUAGGUUUGAGGAGCAGAAAGGUGGCCAUUGUGGCUGCAACCAAAUGAGUGAGGGGAAGGGAAUACGUAGUUGGGCUGGAGGGCAACAAGGCUGGAUCCUGCAGGACUUUAUACUCCCUGACAAGGACUGGGCUUUUAUUCAAGGAUUUAGGGGGAAGAGUACUCAUGUCUACAAUCUACUUUGAAAUGCGUCAAUAAACAAGAUGGAU
rnacentral:lncRNA from 1 species